CAUACUUAGCACCUAAAUAUAGUGCUUGGUUAUCACUUUUAAAAUUGCACCGUAACCACUCUACAUAUUUCGCUUUAUGGCCACAAAAAGGCACACAGAAAGCAUUCAUCUGUCUGUAGGCAACAGUUAAAAACAUGAAAAUAUAUUGUUUUUAGAUAAAAUGGACAGAGAAAUUAAAUUGACUAGAAUCACAAUAGCUGAAUUUGUGAUAUAGAAAUCACACUUUUCACUGGAGCGCCAUUUUUUGACAAAUAGAGUCUUGUUUAGUGGACUUUUUUUUUUAAUUGAAUAUAUUUUCAUUUUCCAGUAAAAUGUAUAUGUAUUUUUUGUAGAGCCUAUUACAAUGGAGAGA